UCCGGUUUGGCACCGGCAGUCUCCAAUGAGUCCCCGGCAUUACCCGCUGGCAACAUUGGACAGGGGUUGCGCUUGUUGCGCCACUUAAGGCAACACCUCACGGCACGAGCUGACGACAGCCAUGCAGCACCUGUCGCCGGCCCUUACGGACACCGCAUCUCUACGGCUUUUCCUGCGUAGUUCAACCCAGGUAAGGUUCUUCGCGUUGCAUCGAAUUAAGCCACAUGCUCCGCCGCUUGUGCGGGCCCCCGUCAAUUCCUUUGAGUUUCAGCCUUGCGGCCGUACUCCCCAGGCGGGGCACUUAUCGCGUUAGCUGCGACACGGAAGGGGUCGAUCCCACCCGCGUCUAGUGCCCAUCGUUUACGGCGUGGACUAC
rnacentral:misc_RNA from 1 species